rnacentral:rRNA from 1 species
UACGUAGGGGGCAAGCGUUGUCCGGAAUCAUUGGGCGUAAAGAGCGUGUAGGCGGCCAGAUAAGUCCGCUGUGAAAUCUCGAGGCUCAACUUCGAGCUGUCGGUGGAAACUGUCUGGCUAGAGUCCGGAAGAGGAGAAUGGAAUUCCUGGUGUAGCGGUGAAAUGCGCAGAUAUCAGGAAGAACACCCGUGGCGAAGGCGGUUCUCUGGGACGGUACUGACGCUGAGACGCGAAAGCGUGGGGAGCGAACAGA